AAACCAUGGCAAACUCCGAAUACCAGGACAGAAUGUACGGGAGACACACGGCGGGUGCUAACGUCCGUCGUGAAAAGGGAAACAACCCAGACCCGCAGCUAAGGUCCCAAAGUUAUAGCUAAGUGGAAAACGAUGUGGGAAGGCACAGACAGCCAGGAGGUUGGCUUAGAAGCAGCCAUCCUUUAAAGAAAGCGUAAUAGCUCACUGGUCGAGUCGGCCUGCGCGGAAGAUUUAACGGGGCUAAGCUAUACACCGAAGCUCGGGGUGCACACUUUGUGUGCGCGGUAGAGGAGCGUUCCGUAAGCCUGUGAAGGUGAGUUGAGAAGCUUGCUGGAGGUAUCGGAAGUGCGAAUGCUGACAUGAGUAACGAUAAUGCGGGUGAAAAGCCCGCACGCCGAAAGCCCAAGGUUUCCUCGCGCAACGUUCAUCGGCGCAGGGUGAGUCGGCCCCUAAGGCGAGGCAGAAAUGCGUAGUCGAUGGGAAGCUGGUUAAUAUUCCAGCACUUGUCUGUAGUGCGAUGUGGGGACGGAGAAAGUUAGGUCUACCAGGCGUUGGUUGUCCUGGGGAAAGGCGGUAGGCAUGCAUCUUAGGCAAAUCCGGGAUGCUUUAUGCCGAGCACCGAGACGAGUCCUUUUGGACGAAGUGACUGAUACUACGCUUCCAGGAAAAGCCACUAAGCUUCAGCUACAGAGAAACCGUACCGUAAACCGACACUGGUAGGCAGGGUGAGAAUCCCAAGGCGCUUGAGAGAACUCGGGUGAAGGAACUAGGCAAAAUGGCACCGUAACUUCGGGAGAAGGUGCGCCCU
rnacentral:rRNA from 1 species